ACCCUUGUGACGCAGUGGUUAGCGUGUCGUUCUUAUACUAAGUAUUCCAACUUGUAUGCAAUGCGAAAGCCGUCAGUUCGACCCUGACCUGGGGUA
rnacentral:tRNA from 1 species